CCUACGGGAGGCAGCAGUAGGGAAUCUUCCGCAAUGGACGAAAGUCUGACGGAGCAACGCCGCGUGAACGAUGAAGGCCUUCGGGUCGUAAAGUUCUGUUGUUAGGGAAGAACAAGUGCUAGUUGAAUAAGCUGGCACCUUGACGGUACCUAACCAGAAAGCCACGGCUAACUACGUGCCAGCAGCCGCGGUAAUACGUAGGUGGCAAGCGUUGUCCGGAAUUAUUGGGCGUAAAGCGCGCGCAGGCGGUUUCUUAAGUCUGAUGUGAAAGCCCCCGGCUCAACCGGGGAGGGUCAUUGGAAACUGGGAAACUUGAGUGCAGAAGAGGAAAGUGGAAUUCCAAGUGUAGCGGUGAAAUGCGUAGAGAUUUGGAGGAACACCAGUGGCGAAGGCGACUUUCUGGUCUGUAACUGACGCUGAGGCGCGAAAGCGUGGGGAGCAAACAGGAUUAGAUACCCUGGUAGUCCACGCUGUAAACGAUGAGUGCUAAGUGUUAGAGGGUUUCCGCCCUUUAGUGCUGAAGUUAACGCAUUAAGCACUCCGCCUGGGGGUACGUCGCAAGACUGAAACUCAAAUGAAUUGACGG
rnacentral:rRNA from 1 species